rnacentral:pre_miRNA from 18 species
UAUUCCAUAAAAAAGCGCCUAGGGUUUUGUGACCGUUGUUACGGUCAAUUCAUGUCUGACACAAUGACCGUAAUCCCGUUCACAACACCUUGUGUGGCUUGAAUAAUGAAAUU